GGCAAAAUUUGUUGUUCUCUUGAUCCAUUUCAAGAAGGAAUCAAUCAAAAUGGACCCAUGUUGAUUUCAUCUAAAUUUUAAUUUGCAGAACGUAGUUAAUUAGUUAACUUUAUAAUAUGUCCUAUCAUUAAUGCAUCAAAUACAUUAUAAUAAAUAACGUAUUAAGUUUGUAUUGCUUAAUUGUAAAAUUGCAGAUACUGAAGCAAAGGCUGCUAUUUGGCCGAUUCCCCCUAUAUGUUAAAAAGAAGAUAAUCAAGUUUUCAUGUACAAGGGUGAUAGUGACAACAGCAAACUGGCUGAUGUGUAUCUGGAAAAAGAUGCAGGGACACCACUGCUGCCAGAAAAGUUCACCUUGUCGAAGGAGCAAAUAUAUGUACGGUGCGUGAUAUGGUCACAGCAUGCCGUGUACCUAUGCUCAUACUAUAUUUUCCAUUUACACUAUGUAGCUAUUGUUCAGGGAACACUUGAAUUUUCUCAAGUGGCUUUCUUGAAAAGAGUGUUCUUUUACUCUAAUUUCAAAACACCUAAUGCAUAGACUGAUGGUGAAAGCUUUUGUAAAAUAAUUUGAGUCAGUCAAUAAAGUAUACUAUCUGUAUUUUCUAUCUGUAUGUACUACAGGCUGACUAACAUGGUAUUUCUACAAUCUUGUACAGCAUGUCUACUGUUAAUUAAUUUUCAGAUUUUAAUUUUAUUUUAUAAGUGUAUGAUCCAAAGCAUAGGUGUAUGUGCAAUAUAAAAGCUGGGUACAAAUUAUUCAUUAUUGGUUCUUUUUGUAUAAGACAGCUAUACAUUUGUGUAGAGGUGUGGCAUUUAACAGUACACCUAAUACAUCCGACUAUUGUCCAAUUUGGAGGUCCAUUACAGUCCGGGGUUGUAAUUUGUACACGUCAAAUUUACUGAUCCUGGUCCUCAUUCGAUCACCUUUAAUUAGAGAACAGCAAUAAUUGAAACAUUUUGAAUAAAACAAGGCAAUAUCAUUAAUAGGAAACAGCGGUUCAUUGUUAAGUGUAGUUGAAUGAACAUUAAAGUAAAAUUUAAAUGUCAAA